GUGGGGAAUAUUGGACAAUGGGCGAAAGCCUGAUCCAGCCAUGCCGCGUGUGUGAAGAAGGUCUUCGGAUUGUAAAGCACUUUAAGUUGGGAGGAAGGGCAGUAAGUUAAUACCUUGCUGUUUUGACGUUACCGACAGAAUAAGCACCGGCUAACUUCGUGCCAGCAGCCGCGGUAAUACGAAGGGUGCAAGCGUUAAUCGGAAUUACUGGGCGUAAAGCGCGCGUAGGUGGUUUUGUAAGUUGGAGGUGAAAUCCCCGGGCUCAACCUGGGAACUGCCUCCAAAAGUUCAUGACUAGAGUACGGUAGAGGGUAGUGGAAUUUCCUGUGUAGCGAUGAAAUGCGUAGAUAUAGGAAGGAACACCAGUGGCGAAGGCGACUACCUGGACUGAUACUGACACUGAGGUGCGAAAGCGUGGGGAGCAAACAGGAUUAGAUACCCUAGUAGUCC
rnacentral:rRNA from 1 species